UACGGAGGGUGCAAGCGUUAUCCGGAUUUACUGGGUUUAAAGGGUGCGUAGGUGGGCAGGUAAGUCAGUGGUGAAAUCUCCGGGCUUAACCCGGAAACUGCCGUUGAUACUAUCUGUCUUGAAUAUAGUGGAGGUGAGCGGAAUAUGUCAUGUAGCGGUGAAAUGCUUAGAUAUGACAUAGAACACCCAUUGCGAAGGCAGCUCGCUACACUAUCAUUGACACUGAGGCACGAAAGCGUGGGGAUCAAACAGG
rnacentral:rRNA from 1 species